GGGAACUCACUGGCUUCGAGUUCCAUCGGAACUCUGAAGUUAAGCGAGUUCGGGCGAGAGCAUUCCGAUGAUGGGUGAUCCACUGUAAAGUUCUCGUCUGAGUUCCCAAAAACAAAACCAUGAGGGCGUGGCCUGGGCUCAAAACAGACAAUAUCGUGCUACAGCAGAGUCGAAACUGGGAUGUGACAAAAUGGUAUUAGAGCCACUCUGCCGUUUAGUGCAAGUGUGCCGACAGGGACAUCGGGCCCCUAAGGGAAGGUGAAUUGUAACAUCCCACAUCGACAAAUGGAGAGGGGAUAAUGUACCUUAUAUGUACAUGCCUACCUUCUAUAGCACUAGGCCUUUUGAGAACUCAUUGGUUUCGGGUUCCAUCAGAACUCCGAAGUUAAGCGAGUUCAGGCGAGAGUAUUCCUAGGAUGGGUGACUUACUGAAAAGCUCUCAUCUGAGUUCCC
rnacentral:sRNA from 1 species